UGGGGAAUAUUGGACAAUGGGCGCAAGCCUGAUCCAGCCAUGCCGCGUGAGUGAUGAAGGCCCUAGGGUUGUAAAGCUCUUUCACCGGUGAAGAUAAUGACGGUAACCGGAGAAGAAGCCCCGGCUAACUUCGUGCCAGCAGCCGCGGUAAUACGAAGGGGGCUAGCGUUGUUCGGAUUUACUGGGCGUAAAGCGCACGUAGGCGGACUUUUAAGUCAGGGGUGAAAUCCCGGGGCUCAACCCCGGAACUGCCUUUGAUACUGGAAGUCUUGAGUAUGGUAGAGGUGAGUGGAAUUCCGAGUGUAGAGGUGAAAUUCGCAGAUAUCAGGAGGAACACCAGUGGCGAAGGCGACUUUCUGGUCUGUAACUGACGCUGAUGUGCGAAAGCGUGGGGAUCAAACAGG
rnacentral:rRNA from 1 species